rnacentral:pre_miRNA from 1 species
UAGAAUGUGAAAGGCCAUUAGACAUUUUUGUUUCUCAUAGCCUUUCACAUUCUUAGA